rnacentral:rRNA from 1 species
AAACUUUCAACAACGGAUCUCUUGGCUCUGGCAUCGAUGAAGACCGCAGCGAAACGCGAUAAGUAAUGUGAAUUGCAGAAUCCAGUGAAUCAUCGAAUCUUUGAACGCACAUUGCGCCCGCCAGCAUUCUGGCGGGCAUGCCUGUUCGAGCGUCAUUU